AUAAGCCUCUCUCGUUUUGCAUGCCUCAUCUUCUCCACCCCACUCACCCUUCUUCACCAUUCAAACCCUAGCCACCGCUCCUUUCACCGUGCACCUCCGGCCGUCGUGAAUCCCACGACUGACACAGCCCUACAUGACGAUGAUCGUCCGGAGGAAGCUGCUGUACUGCAUUCCUUCUCCGCCUCGCGUCUCCAUCCAUCAAUCGUAGCCGCAUGUUCUACCGUUGGAAAGUCACAGCCCAAACGCCCCGAGUCACUCAUCUCAGCCGUCUUCGUGCCCGCCGGUUUCGCCAGUCGUCCGCGCCGCGUGCUCCCCCCUUGCGGAAGCCGAUCUGUGCCUUAGCCAGAUUUGAACCCAAGCCAGGUCUCCUUAGGUGAGCUGCAUGUGAUCGUCCAAGCCGUGACGCCCCCUCUACGUGUGAGCCACGCGUCUCUGUCCCUUCAAGCCAGAUCUGAGCCGCCUUCAUUCUCCACAACCCACGUGCCCGAGCCGACUACCUUGUCAAGCCAUUCCUUGUUUUGGAGCCACUUUUGGUUUAGAACUGUAAUUAGGAAUUUGACUGCCAACCACAGAGUUAAUAUUUUCGUAAAUCCCUAGGUAAGGGGAGAGGCAAGGGCAAGCUGGCGAAUGAUAAGAAGUGAUUGUUGAUCAGUAGUUUUACUUUUUAUAGACAAAGGUAACAAGGGAGGCAGACCGAGGGGCACGAAAGAAGCAUGAUUGUCUUAGGGAAUAUUUUAAUUUGCUUCCGCUUAAUGUUUUGUUUUCUUAUUUCGUUGAAGUACUUGAGAUUGUUUAGAAAAUUUUAUAGUUUAACUUAAUUCAUGAACUGAUGAUUUGUAAGCAUUUCUUUGAAAAAAAAUUUUUAAUUGGUUAUUUGAAAUAAGGCCCGAACUUAAGUUUGUUUUCUUUCAUCAUAUGAUUUCAAAUGAGUUUUAAUAUAUUUUGUGUCAAUCAAGGUCUCUUUGUCAAAAUUAAUGACUUCGACUUAGUUAGAAAAGUUAGGUCUUUACAUCUUGAAACCAUAGGAAAUGUGAGUCAUGCCCUCUACAUCUUAAACUUUUCACACCUUGCACGGUUUCUACAAAUCUUAUAUUCAUGAAGUUCUUCAAUCAACUUGUUUCUAUGCACAAUAAUCUCACUGGUUUCUUUGCAAUUUUAUAAGAAUUGGAGAAGGAAGUUAAAACACUUACUUUUUUAUAUUUAAGUACUUUUUUGCAUACUCUUGCUGUGAAUCACUCCAAAACUCAGCAUCUAAUUAAAUUAUUGACGGAACCAAGAAACCAUGGGCGCAACUCCACAACUUUAGUCCUUUCUCUUUUAGUUGCUUAUUACAAUUUUAUUGUGGAGACCAAAAUUUGAUGUCUUGAAUAAAUAUGAAACGAUUCUCAUUUUUAUUCAUGGUACUUCAUCGUCUAGGAAUGGAAUAUGAAAAG